GAAUGUAUAUGCCAAAUUAUUCUGAAAUAGUCCGUUUCGUUUUUGAAUACGGGCCCGAUAUAUUGACAGGGCGCUCAAUUUUGACGCCGUGCAAGUCUUAGUAAAAUAGCAUAUAUUUUUAUCAAAUUACUAAAAACAGCAAACCUUACGAGAAAAUUUGAUUAUAAAUAGUUACUAAACUCACUCAGCUUAAUGAUUUCCAAUUUUAAAAAGUAUUGAAAAGUUUGAGUUUCGAGUUUAAAUUGCCGUUAAAAUUAGCAAAUUCGAGUGAAAUCUGGUUGUCUUUCUUGGUUGAUUCACAAUAUCGUCGCUAGAUGGCGCCCCGUUGCUACGUACGCUAGUGCGCGAAAAUGGAAGUUCGAGAAGACUACACGGUUUCGGGACACUACGCAAACAGUUUCACAAGUCUGUAUAAAGCCGAUCCAGAAUAAACAACUCCAGUGACCCUUUGUAAUUGUUGCAGAGACAUAACAAUACAUCUGCAAGGUUUAAAACUUAGUGAUGGCCGACAUACACCUGUCAACCCAGCCGCGGACAGCGAAGGAAGUCAUACCCCAAAGAAUCACAUUAUAUACAGGACUCAGAACUUUGACAAUCAUAGACCCUGUCAUAACAUUAAACUGAACUGAUGAGGCAGAAUAUAUCUUACAGAAUGUUUCAACAAGCGAAAAGUCGAAGAAUGUGUUGACCCAGUGCUUAAUCUGAUUGCACCAGGGCAAUCAGAGAAAUUAAAACAAUUGAUUAUGUUAGGACCUAAAUCAACUCCAACAGAUAAAGAGCUGACAAACUACAUGUAUAUGAGGAAAUAACUAACAUUGAACUUCACACUCAAAUUUUUUCAAUGUCAAAAAACUAUGUUAUUAUAUAUAACAGUAAUAAGAUGUACAUGUAUAACUAAUUUAUGUAGAAGAUAAGUGCAUAUAUGUAUGUCCCUUUCUCACUGAUUGUCCAUUAUACAUGUAUAGAAAGAAUAAAGAAAUUUUAUAUCUCAUUA